UACGUAGGGUGCGAGCGUUGUCCGGAUUUAUUGGGCGUAAAGAGCUCGUAGGCGGUUUGUCGCGUCGGCCGUGAAAUCUCCACGCUUAACGUGGAGCGUGCGGUCGAUACGGGCAGACUUGAGUUCGGUAGGGGAGGCUGGAAUUCCUGGUGUAGCGGUGAAAUGCGCAGAUAUCAGGAGGAACACCGGUGGCGAAGGCGGGUCUCUGGGCCGAUACUGACGCUGAGGAGCGAAAGCGUGGGGAGCGAACAGG
rnacentral:rRNA from 1 species